rnacentral:lncRNA from 1 species
UUUUGGGGGUGGGGAAAAAGGAGAAUUUAAUUACGAUUAACGUUAGUAGGUAGGAGGUUGUCUAAUUGCCCAAGUUACAACUUUCAGCAAGAAAAUGAAAAUGUGAGUGCCAUUGAGAUUCAGGAGGACAGAGCUGCAGGUGAGAAUUUGGGGUUCAUCGAGAUAGGGCAGUGGUUAAAGUAGAUACAAUAGACUCUCCUGGAGAGGCAGAUAUGUAAAAAGUUGGAGCCAAGGCAUGGACUUAGGAAAUGCCCAUGUUCAGGUGGAAGCAUCAGGAUAGUGUGGUUUCAAGGAUGCCACAGAAUGGGAAGUGUCCAUACAUGUCUUAUAGAAAAGUGGAUGUACUUGCUACAAAAAAGAGCUAGGAGUUUGAA